GGAGGGUGCAAGCGUUAAUCGGGAAUUAUUGGGGCGUAAAGGGCACGUAGGUGGCAAAGUCAGUUGGGCUGUGAAAGCCCCCGGGGCUCAACCUGGGGAAGGGCCAGUCAAAACUGCUUAGCUAGAGUACAGUAGAGGGUAGUGGAAUUUCCGGUGUAGCGGUGAAAUGCGUAGAGAUCGGAAGGAACAUCAGUGGCGAAGGCGGCUACCUGGACUGAUACUGACACUGAGGUGCGAAAGCGUGGGGAGCGAACAGGAUUAGAUACCCUGGUAGUCCACGCUGUAAACGAUGACAACUAGCCGUUGGGCAUAUAGAAAUGUUUAGUGGCGCAGCUAACGCGAUAAGUUGUCCGCCUGGGGAGUACGGCCGCAAAGGCUAA
rnacentral:rRNA from 1 species